rnacentral:misc_RNA from 1 species
AACCUUAUGGACCUGCGGGCGUAUACCUGCGGAGGGAUCAUUACCAGAGAGCCUUUUGGCACUCCAACCCAUUGUGAACAUACCUAUCGUUCCCUCGGCGGGCUCAGCGCGCGGGGCCUCCGGGCUUCCGGGCGUCCGCCGGGGACAACCAAACCCUGAUUUACUACGUGUAUCUCUGAGGGGCGAAAGCCCGAAAACAAAAUAAAUCAAAACUUUUAACAACGGAUCUCAGAUCGGAAG